UACGUAGGGUGCAAGCGUUGUCCGGAAUUAUUGGGCGUAAAGAGCUCGUAGGCGGUUUGUCGCGUCUGCUGUGAAAACCCGAGGCUCAACCUCGGGCCUGCAGUGGGUACGGGCAGACUAGAGUGCGGUAGGGGAGACUGGAAUUCCUGGUGUAGCGGUGAAAUGCGCAGAGAUCGGGGAGGAACACCCGUAGCGAAGGGCGGCACUCUGGGCCGGUACUGGACGCUGAGG
rnacentral:rRNA from 1 species